AGGAGCAACAGCCCUAGUAACGGGGCCGCUCUGGAAACCUGGAUUCAGCCCCCGCAGGAACUCCGGAGGUCUCCGUCUGCAGGGCCUGGAGGCUCCGGGGUGGG
rnacentral:pre_miRNA from 1 species